AUACUGCUGGAGAGUCCCAAACUAGGACGAAACAGCUGUCCAGUAC
rnacentral:hammerhead_ribozyme from 1 species